rnacentral:rRNA from 1 species
GAUAAGGUUAAGUGAAUAAGGGCGCACGGUGGAUGCCUUGGCACUAGGAGCCGAUGAAGGACGGGACUAACACCGAUAUGCUUUGGGGAGCUGUACGUAAGCUAUGAUCCAGAGAUUUCCGAAUGGGGGAACCCAGCAUCUUUAAUAGGAUGUUACGAUUGUGUGAAUACAUAGCACAUUCGAGGUAGACGCAGAGAACUGAAACAUCUAAGUACCUGCAGGAAGAGAAAGAAAAUUCGAUUCCCUGAGUAGCGGCGAGCGAAACGGGAAAAGCCCAAACCAGCAAGCUUGCUUGUUGGGGUUGUAGGACUCCAAUAUGGUAGUUCUUUCAGAUAGUCGAAUGACUUGGAAAAGUCAGUCAAAGAGGGUAAAAACCCCGUAGACGAAAUGUGGAAGACACCUAGGAGG